rnacentral:rRNA from 1 species
CCCAAUGCUCCAGCUGGAUGCAUGUCUGGUUGGGAAAGCUUUUGUGCCCAUAUGAUGGGGUCGCGUCCUAUCAGCUUGUUGUGGGGUGAUGGCCUACCAAGGCGUCACGGGUAGCCGGCCUAAGAGGGCGACCGGCCACAUUGGGACUGAGAUACGGCCCAGACUCCUACGGGAGGCAGCAGUGGGGAAUAUUGCACAAUGGGCGCAAGCCUGAUGCAGCGACGCCGCGUGCGGGAUGGAGGCCUUCGGGUUGUAAACCGCUUUUAUAGGGGGGCAAGCUAUGCCUGUGUGGUGUGGUGAGUGGACUUUAUGAAUAAGCACCGGCUAACUAC